UGCUAACAUCGUCUUUUUUCUUUUCUCUGCUUUUAAAGGGUACCACCAUUCGGUCGAGAGGCUGCAGAGGCUACGAUAAAUGGUAUCGUGACAAACAAAUUGAAUUCACCAUCCCAGGACACCAGUACUUCUCAGUCCUCCUGCUCAAGCUCCUUCCGCUCAGUGUGAGAGACUGGUUCUAUACGAUAUAUUACUGUCGGACGAGUAAUGUGACCGAAGAACAGAGGACCGGCUGGAACGCUUAUAAAAUAAUUGAUAAAAUGGCAAAUCGACUCGCAGAGCAACAAAAGGAGCUGAUAUGAAAAAGCAUAUCAAAAGAUGCAUGUGAUGCACCCGCGGUCGUGUCAGGAUAGACCAGAGAUUGUAAACGCUAAUAGUGCUACGUCACGGGUGACUACUAUAUAUUGGCUCAUGAUAAAAUUGCGGGAGGUUAUGCCAUUUUUAUUAUUAGGACCCAAUUUGAUAUAAGCAAGAAUUCUUGUGGCGACGUUACGACUAAUAGCUGUAGAAACAGGGUAUUCGUCGGAGAGUCAAUGAAUAAAAAUAGAUCACCAGAAAGGGGAAGAAUUGUAGGGCCUCGAAAUAAGUUUUCUCGUCAAAAAUUUACGCAAAACACAGUGGAAGCAAUGAAAAGUUCCAAAAUCAACUCAUGAACGAGAAAUGGCGUUUGCAGUUUCUGGCAUUGGUCGAUUCGAGCAUUGCUGCUCACUGAAUUAAUACCAUCGAUAAAUCGCAAAGAACCCAACGCCAUUGAUCAAUCUACGAACUAUCUUCACAUAAUAAUUUUAGUGAUCGCCAAGGGUAGGACUACAAGGUGUAGGAGCCUUGUGCGGUCGAUUUCGAACGGAGGAAUAGGUGAAUCACUACUUUAUCAAGAACUUGUAUGCAUCGGGAUUAUAGUACUGAUUCCACUUGUACAGAGGAAGUGUUAAUGCAACUGAGCUUUGAGAUAUCCCUGUUUAUUCAUUGAACAGGCAAUGAAAGAAAUAGAACAGAAAAAUUGAGUUUUCUGAAAUCCGCGUGUUAGAAUGAGAAGUACCGGCUCAUGAAGUGGACGUAUUUCUGCAAAGCGUUACUAUAGACGAGUAGGAAAGAUGGUAGUAGUAGUAAUAUACGUUUAUUUUCUAGAGGUGCUCUAGCAGCUCAGGCCAUUUACACCUCUGUGUGUUCACAAUUGAAAUUCAUUAAAAUACAAAAGGGUAGUAAUAUAAAGAGACAAAAGGUAAGGGUAAGAGUAAGGGUAGAGGAAAGGUUAAAUUUUGAGUUUGGUGGAGCUCAGAAGUAGAUUUUUAAGAGAGGGUAAGGGGCAGGGAAAAAAACGUUUUCGGAUUUCAUUAUAAAGUGGGCAACUUAUAAGGACAUGAUCUACUGUUAAGGGGGAAUUUGGACAAGAAGUACAAGCAGGGCGGUUUGAUUGAGUCAUCAAAUAGCUGUGGGAAAAAUUUGUGUGACCAAUUCUCAAUCUAGUUUGGACUACUUGUUGGAGUCGAGUCAAAUGAAAGUUUGAGAUGAAGUUGAAAAAGGCAAUGCAGGGGGGCAUUUGGCAUCGGUGGAAUGCUCCCACUCAGUUACCCACUGGAGGAAAGAUGGGAUGUGUUCUAGAAAGCUGGAUAAGAAGCAAUGUAUAAGUCUACCAGCGGGGCGAUUAUUGAAACUGAUGGACAAAGCGAUAGACAAAGAAGACAUAGGGAGUACGGAGCGAUCUUAUUGGUUGAUAUGGUUGGUUCUUAUAGACUAAGGAAGAAAAUGAUGGACUGACUGUCGGGUCUUUAGUGGGUUGCCGUUAGUUAGUCUAUUACCUACCUCCUAUGUCCAUUGCCACCACCUGCUACCACUAAUAGGAUCCCUCCAAAUCCCUUUUGUCGUCUUUGUCUAUAGCUUUGUCUAUCAGUUUCAAUAAUCGGCCCGCAGAUGGAACUGAGCGCUAACUCUGCCGCGCUAAGGAUAAACGCCGUAUGAGCCUUCAG
rnacentral:lncRNA from 1 species